CAAACGCCAAAGAGAAAAAGGCCGACAACUCUUUCCAUUAUUUCUUUUGCCUGUGAUUUUCUUUUCCCUUGAUGCCAACUAUUGUGAAAUUAAAGAAAGUGUUGUCAUAAUUAGCAUUUGAAAAGCGGAGUAGCAAAACACUAGCAUAACUGCAACAAUUAAGCUUGGUCUAUGUGUGUGACAUUGUGUGCAUACGUCGUUUGUAUUGUAUGAAUCAGUUUUCUUCCAAUGUAUACAUCUACUUGAUCCAAAGGUAACAGAGUUGUCCAGGAUAUACCAGUGGACCUAAAGCUCGGAUCUUCAACUAUUUUAAGAUUUCAAAAGCUAAAGAGCGGCACGCCCACAAAAAAAAAAAGUCACCAACAAAAGAUGAAUUCAAAAUUUCCUAACUGCUUCAAACGUAAGAUAGUACAUCAUUUCUGACAGUUACAAAGAAAACAUCGUAACGGUCGCUGGAUCAUGCAUAUGGUGAACACGGGGGAGUGUCUGGGCCUAGGGAAAUAUUUUAGCAUCCUUUGGCUCUAUCUACUCAGCGGCGUAAACUGUGGAACUCGAAUGCUGGAGCCCCCAUCACGGGCCUCGCUGUGGCGUUAUGGAUACAACACGCCCACGAACUUGUAUGAUGAUAAGACGAACUGCGGAGGAUAUGACGUCCACUACAACUUGAAUAAUGGCACCUGCGGUGUCUGCGGGGACCCAACAAACGAGGCCAAGCCCAGAAAUCACGAAGCGGGUGGCCAAUUCUCGCCUUCACCCACUCCGGUCAGAGUUUACAAGAAGGGCGGAUACAUCACCGUCGUCAUGGAAACUACUGGAACCCUCUUUGGACGA
rnacentral:sRNA from 1 species